rnacentral:rRNA from 1 species
CCCUUAGAUGUCCGGGGCUGCACGCGCGCUACACUGUAGAAAGCAGCGUGCUUUAAAACCUUUCCUGAAAAGGAUGGGUAACCCCAGCAAAAUUCUACGUGCUUGGGAUAGAGAUUUGCAAUUUUCUCUCUUGAACGAGGAAUUCCCAGUAAGUGCGAGUCAUCAGCUCGCGUUGAUUACGUCCCUGCCCUUUGUACACCCCGCCCGUCGCUACUACCGAUUGGGAAAAUUUUAGAGAGUCCUGGACUGAUGAUUGUUCGGCUUCACGGCCUUACUUUCGUCGGGAAAGAAUUCGAUAAUAUUUUUCUAGAGGAAGUAAAAGUCGUAACA